GACAAAACUAUGUUCAAAUAAAUACUUUAGAUUUAACUAGUUUUUGGAUGUCCACCCCAUUCAUUUAAAAGGGGCUGACUUCACAAUCCUGUGCAUUUCUACUCAAAAAGCCUUGCUGAGUUCAGUGGGACUGAACCUACACAGGUAGGCGUGUGUAGGAUUGCGGCCUUGGACUGCAGUCAUGCCUGUUUACCUGGGAGUGUCCCUUUGGAUCUUGCAGGCCUUAUUUUUGAAUAAACAUGUAUAGGACUACAGGGUAAAUUAGCUUCAGUCCAAGUAGGUACUAAUAAUGAAAGUGAGAUGAAAGCCAGAUGAAAGUGAAAAGAGGAUUCCUACACCUUGAUCUUCCUCCAGAGUUCUGGCUCUUCGCCCUGGCCUGGCCUUGCUUGGACAAACACCUAUUCUCAGUGGUGAGUAUUCCUGUGGAUCAUGAGUAGCACCACAGUUAAAGUUAACCACAGUUCCAAGCUUGGACAAAAAAGGACAAGCUGCAAUUAGUUGAAAAUAGAAGCAGAUUCUAUAUCCAUUUAGUAUAACAUUUAGCAUCACAGCUGAGCCAGGCUCUUGGCUACAUAUCACGGUUGUAGAGCCACUGUGGAGUGAGGGCAAUGUCCUCACUCCAGCAUCUUGUGGGCAGAAAAAUGGCUUGCAGCCAUUGGAAACUAGAUGAUUGCUUCUACCAAAAGAAUCAGUGAAAAAGGCUUAAAAAGGGUAAAAAGGAAGGGCUUUGAAUCCUCUAAAAAUCCCCUGGCCAUCUUUCAAGCUGGGGGAAAAAAAGAUUGGUAAAUUAACCCUGAUAGUUAUAUGUUAUGUAAUAUUUGGGUGACAUCUAGAAUCCGAAAUCUCUAAAGAAGAAAAGGUUUCUAAGACUCUUAGGAGGGACAUUUUUGAAAAGUACAUAAUCCAAUUUAUUUAUAUUAAUAUAUUCAGUUUAUUUAUUGUAGAAGAAUAUAUUAAAACAUUACAUGAAAGUGUGGAGACUUGAAUUCGAAAGCAUACUUUUCCUUUAGCAUAACAUUGUUCCAACUGAAGCUGGAACAGCCUACAAUGUAUUGCACGCUGGGGAACUAUUCAGUUCAACACAAUCUUAUUCUGUCUUGCAGAUGUCUAAGAUAAAAAUACACAGUGCAUUUGCCCAUUGACGGUGGAUUCAUUAUUCCUUGCAGUUUUCCAGUAAUUACUAGUUUCUUGGUUUCUUGGUCCCUCCUCAUAUAUAGUCCUCUUUAUUUUGCGUCCUCUGCAAGAGAACAUUGUCUCAAGUGUUCUAUGGCAUUAGAUAUUAAUUGUGCUUGAACUUUUAUUUUCUGCCAAUCAGAGUUUUGGUAGGAUCUUUCAUACAGCUACAGUAUGUUAGCCAUAAGUUAACAGUCUAACCCAGCCUCUACCAACCUAUUGCCCUCCAGAUGUUUUUUGCUGCCUAUUGGUAGUUGUGGUCCAAAACAUCUGGAGGGCACCAGGUUGGUGAAGGGUGGGCUAGGCUAGGCUAUCUUAGUUGUAAUGUUCCCCUGGCAAAAAUCAGGAGUAGCCCAGGUGCUCAAUGUUCAUAGGUCUAGGAACACAUGUACUUAAAAAACAGAUAACAUUCCACAUUUGUUGCAUAGCCUCAGGUUAUGAGGCAGGCUAUUUUAGAUAGGUGAUUUAUAUUCUCUUGGAUUCUCCUCUUCUUCUUCUUCUUCUUCUUCUUCUUCUUCUUCUUCUUCAUUUAUUGAAUUUAUAUACCAUCUUAUAUCCGGGGGUUUCAGGGUGGUUCACAGAAAUCUCCUUAGGAAUUUGUCUUUAUUUUAAGAGGACAGAGCCCUGCUUCACCAAGUCAAAACCACCAGCAUAAGCACCUUUCUGUAUGCAUUGUGAUGCUGGUGCACAUCUCUGUCUGUGUCGCAAUGAUUAGCUGAGCCAUGGUGAACGGCUGUGUGUGUCUCUUGAAGAGAACGGAGAUGCAUCCAAGGUGGAGGGGUGGACACCAGUUCUUUCUCACAUGGGAUUUGUUUCCCACAGUUCCAAUGGGAUGAUACCUUCAGUGUGUUUGGUUUGACCACAUUUAAUUGAUCAUAUCAGAAAUGUCCGUGGGGCCAGUGCCUUUUGGAUAUAUUGUUUCAUGUGCUUACUUGGGCCAAGUUGUCGUGGUAGUUUUGCUCUCCUAUACGUGAGUUUUUGAACGAUACCAUGUUCGUUCUUUGCCUUCUUUAGCGGUGCCAUUUGGCAGUACUCUCUCAUUGCAUUCUCCCCAUCUUAUAUUUUUGUCUACCGAAUAAUAAUUCAACAGCCCAUUCACUGAUGCUAGUACCACCUAUUGUCCUUGUACCUUUGUCGUACCUGCUAUUCCCAAGUGUCUGUUUUGCUUUUGCUGUCCACUGUUGCCAUUAAACAUGCAGCUGUUUUCCGCUACAGGCAUAUACAGGCCUUUUGGCUUAGAUAAAGUGUGUGUGUGUGUGUGUGUGUGUGUGUGUGUGUGUGUGUUUGUAGUAUAUUUGCUUUGUUUCCAUCCCCGUUUUCAGUGAUGGCUACAGCUAGGAAGAUCCAGUAUGUCAGUGGGGCAUAAUUAUGAGGGUGUGGGUGGGCAAAGUAAUUAUGCCUAUAGGGGUAGCCAUUGUGGUGCCCUCUAGCUUUUGUUGGGCUUCGUCUUGCAUUCGUUUCAGCCAGCAUGGCCAAUGAUCAAGUAUUGUGAGAGUUAUAGCCCAACAACAUGUGGAGGAUACCUCAUGGGCUACCCUAAUGGGUGAGAGGGUGAAACAAACAGUGAUCAUGUUUGGGGAAAUACAGCUUACAAAUGAAGAAGUAAAUACAGUGCUGGUUUCAGCACAAGGGGUAGAGAGAAGGGCGAGGAAAUACAGCAGAAUCCCCAUCAAUAAGCAGCAGAGCACUGGUUUAUUUUCCAGCCAGUAUCUUGGCUGUGGCCCAUUACAGUAUUUGAAAGCUGAGCCACAAAGACAAUCUGCAUAUGAGUCACUCUGAGUUAGUCAUCACAAACUCUCUUUAAGCUGCAUCACCACUAGAGAUUGCCUGGAACCAGGAGCCCAGAAUUCAAGCUCCACUCUUCCUGGAAAAAGCUUUGGGCCGUUCUUUGUGGUUACCCUCUCAGAGGGGGCAGCAAAGAUGUUGGUGAGCUUCAGGCUAGCAUGUUUGUCUUUACAUUUGAGUAGACUUGUGUGCAUGGCAGUAUUUUGAUUGAGCUUUGGGUUUCCAGCAGCUGGGGAAGUAUUGAUCCUAAUCCGGUCAUAACGAAGCACUUACAAGCCCCAGUGAGACUUAAGUGGGAGACUUCAGCUUGUACAUAAGCCUCUUUUGCUACAUUAAAAUAAAAAUGGCAUCAAUCAGUAGCAAAGGAAGAAGCAGAUACCAUAUCCUCCAACAUUUCUCCAAUGAAAACAGGGACGUCCCAUUCCAUAAUGAUAAUUUUACUAUUUAUACCCCACACAACUUACUGGGUUUCCCCAGACACUCUGGGCAGCUUCCAACAUAUAUAAAAGCAUAAUAAAACAUUAAACAUUUUUUUAAAAACACUUCCUUAUACAGCAUUGCCUUCAGACUGCUCAGGGGUCAGAUAACUCCGUACAGUCCAACAUUUCUCCAGUGAAAAUAGGGACAUCCUAAGGAAAAGUGGGACAUUCUGGGAUCAAAUCAGAAACUGGGACAGCUUAUCUAAAUCAGGGAUGUCCCUGGAAAAUAGGGACACUUGGAGAGUUUGAGAUACACUGAGGUGACAGCUGGUGUUCAGGGUCAAAAAUUGACAAAGACAGCAACAGUAGUUUGCAGUUCCGAAUGUUUGAUUUAACUGGGGUCAGGUUUUUGAGUCUGAGACAUGACAUGAAUGUAUUUGGGUUGAUCUGGGGCAUGCUCAGAAGACCUACAUUAAGUUGUGACCCACCAAGCCAAAUAUGCCUCAGCAGCUAUGUAUAGGAGGAAGCACAGAAGGCACCAAAGCACCUGGCAGGCCAUACUAAAUGGCUUGUGAGCUGUUUUCAGCUUGGUUGAGCACAGUUUACGCAGGCCUGAUCAAAGCCAUGUGCUUUGGUGCUCAGCCACUAACUUCAGAGCUUCUAAAAACCUGUUACAAAAAUAGAUUUCUAGAACAGACCAUUUCAACCACUACCAGUACUUCUCAGUGUUGGUAGCCUGCAUAGAUGUUCCAGUGUUUGUGUUUGCCACAUAUGACUUACAUCAGAAUGGGGCACCUAUGGCUCUUAUCAUCAGACACUUCUCUCAUCUCUGACUAUGACCAUGCUGGCUGGAGGAGAUGGGAACUGGUGUCCAACAGCAUUUAGGCCCUCAGAUUCCUCAUCCCUGACAAAAUAAACUACACAUAGCCAAAUGCUCUGCUAAUAACGAAAACAGAAACCUAUGGAGCUGAUAUUGUCAGCGUUAAUAUCUGCUACAUUUUUUUGCCCUUUUUGAUCACACUUGAUCCCCAGUUCAGGAAUACUGUAUAUAUUACAGUUAAUGACUUUUUCAAAACAUAUUUCAUGAGGAAUUUCCUGCGAAAACAAAAGGCACAUCAUGUUUUCAACAAGAGCCCCUUUAAUCCCAUUCUGAAAAUGAAUUGCUAUUAGGCAAUGGGAAUGAAUAAAUUUUUAUAGUUGCUAAAUCACAGUAGAGUAACUCCAUUAGACAUGGCGGAUAUCAUUGUCAAUUAAAUGGUCAAAAACACUGGUUACAGUUUAGACAAAAUUAAGCGUUUGUAAAUGUCAUUUAUCUAUGAUUUCAGUAGGAGAGUGGCGCAGAUUCUCAGAGUUACACUCCUGUGUACACUUACUUUGAACUCAUUGUGACUUAUUUGUUUAUUUGAUUGAUUGAUUUAUAUUCCACCCUUCAUCAACAGAUCUCAGAACGGUUCACAAGAUAAAAGCAUAAAUAAACAGAAACCACAAAACAAUAACCCCCUCCCACAAACACAUUUAAAAGACUGUGGAAUAUUAAUCAGCCUACACACACAUUCAUAGGAUUGGUCUGCCACUCUUUCCCACUGAAUUCAAAGGGUUUGUAAAGAGAGCUGAUUUUGACUAAAUGUUUCCUCAUUUAACACAGAGACAAAUAUGAUACAAGUAUCAUACAUGGAAUCUCUACACUGUUGUUCAUUAGUGCUGCAGGAUAGAUUCCCAAAAAAGCCAGGCAUGCAGAUGAACCAUAGAAAUUGACGGGUUUAGUGGCACAAUCAACAGGUUAUAAGGCUGUAUGUAACUUUCUCUGGAUUAUGCCCCAAAGCAGGAAAUUUCAAAGUAGAAUGCUAUUUGCCAUGAGCCCAGCCUACUUUAUCUUUACUCUGCUAAAAAAUAUUGUGUAAUGCUAGCGACAGAAUCAGUUAUGAGAUGUUAUCCUCCAGUUAUUCUGCUUGACAACUUCCAGUGGAACAAAACUGAUGGAAGAAAACAGUCCAAAGAAUGCAAAUAUUGCCACAGUAGCAAGCAACUUCUGUCAUCGUCAGGGAAAUAAAUGUUGGAACUGUUGCAGUUUUGGAAGUUGCUUGCUACUGUGGUGUUUUGUUAAGUUCUUGGCUCAUGUGAAACCCUAGUCGUGAAAACAAGCAACUGAUUGCAACAUACUAUUUGAGCACCAGCUUUGAUUUGAAAGGCGGCGAGCAGUGGAGAUCAAGAGCCAGUGGUUGUGUAGUGCCAAGAUUACAAGUGGAAAUACUCAUGUUCAAAUCCUCAUUCAGCCAUGAAGCUCACUGGGAGAUCAUGAUCACAAUCUGUCAAAGGGAGGUUGUGAAGAUAAAAUGGGGGGAAAUAAGUAUUAUGUACACCACCAGGAGGUUCCUGGAGAAUAUACAGGAUACAAAUUAAUUUUGAAAUCAAAUAUAAUUUGUUUCUUUGUUAUUUUAGAGUUGUCUGUCUCCCUGUUUCUCCAAGGAAACUCAAGACUUCUAACCAGCAGUACUAAAACAGACAUAAUCUCUGUACCCCACAAUGUAAAUUCAAAUUAAUAGUAUCUGAUCUGCUUAACAAAUAAAAACAGCAAAAACAAACAAACCCCAAAUCAAACCUAAACCAGAAAAAUUUCACAGUUAACCAAAGCCCUUUCCACGAAGCAAGGUCUAAACACCCAUAGAAGUAUAGUGACAGAGCACAUUGGACAUCACUCAGCAAGGCAUUCUGUUAAAAAUAAGCAGACAGGUGUAUUGCUAGGAUUCUUACAAAGAAUGUUGGACUUGGUACACCUCUUGGUACACCUUUUGAACCCAUCAGGACUGUGCAGACUAUGUGAAAUGAAUGUAUGCAGAGUAGGGAUUGGGAUUAUUCCUACUGGCCCUACUUUCUUCCCGGUAUAUAUGUUCAGCAUAACGUCUGGGUCCCCCCCGCAUGGGUCCCUUAUACCUAGGCGGAGUCUAUGGGUGCACAGUUUACAUAUGCAUAGGUUAUGUACAGACAUACUAUGUCUGAUGUGUAUAGGCCAUCAGGUGCCGGUUCAGUCCCCGCUCUAUGCAUGUGCAUGUUACACAGACAUAAGCAUCUGAAUAGUCCUAGAUUCAUUAAGAGAUGCCGAUUAUGGACUUCAUUAUGAACUGCUUUGUAAAUUUAAAGCACACAAGUGAACCAUGAGGAAAGCAAAAGUAGAGUUGUGAAGCUGGCCCAUACUUCCACCAGAGGACUCAGGAAGGAGUAUACUUUGGUAUACUGAACCUUCCAAGGCAUUGUACUUCUGCAUGCCAGUUGCUGAGGAGCGAGGAAAGGUUUUCUUGCCCUGCUGGGUAGCUGGCUGGCCACUGUGGGAAGAAGAAGAAUGGUGGAUCUUCAAUUUGCUCUCUCAAGACUCUUUUUAUACUGUAAAUCUCUACUAAACUGUGGAAUGAAAUUUGGGAUGGAGGCAUGCAGGCAAGAUUGGUGGAUAAGAUCAAGCCAUAGAAUGGAAAGUAGGGAAGAACAGGAGAUCUGGCAUACAUAUUUUUUGUCCAGAAAGGCAAACCAUCUCCAUCACUGUAACGCUUUUUAGUAGAUGUAAGGAUUCAGCUUACAAGGAGAAACAACAGCUUGAAAGUUCUUAGUUCAACUUUCUUUGUUUCUGUAAUACUCGCUAAUAAAUGAGGCAAAACGGGGUGGGGGUGGAGGUGGAAAUAGCAUGCGGGAAGCUCUCCUACAUAGAGACUUUAAUUCCCCAACUCUCUGCUUGAAUGCUUUUACUAUAAGCACAAACAUAGUUCAGGUCACCAGGUCAGAAAGCUGGGUGCUGCCCGGAGCAUGCUUGCUGAUCAUUAGUAACCUCUCAAUUUUCAGAUAGUCCCAAGAAAUCCUUUCUCCAUCAUCUUUCAUUUUAACUUUUGCCUGCUGUCUGCUGAACUCUGACUACUGAGGUUUGAGUGGAAAAACCUACUUGAAAUGGAAAUUGCCUAGCAUUGCUUUUCUGGUGGGACUGCCAAAUCAGAUCAGAAUGAUGUGGAUUGCUUCCUAUUAGUUUAAAUUAAUAGCAGGUACCAGCAUUUGCUGUGAUAUCAGAUCAUGCAAUGUACUUGAACAAAAGUUAUGCAAGCCCUGGGAUGGAUUCUAUUUUCAUAUG